GACGAACGCUGGCGGCGUGCCUAAUACAUGCAAGUCGAGCGAAUCAAUAGGAGCUUGCUCCUGUUGGUUAGCGGCGGACGGGUGAGUAACACGUGGGCAACCUGCCUGUAAGACUGGGAUAACACCGGGAAACCGGUGCUAAUACCGGAUAAUCCUUUUCCUCUCAUGAGGAAAAGCUGAAAGACGGUUUCGGCUGUCACUUACAGAUGGGCCCGCGGCGCAUUAGCUAGUUGGUGAGGUAACGGCUCACCAAGGCGACGAUGCGUAGCCGACCUGAGAGGGUGAUCGGCCACACUGGGACUGAGACACGGCCCAGACUACUACGGGAGGCAGCAGUAGGGAAUCUUCCACAAUGGACGAAAGUCUGAUGGAGCAACGCCGCGUGAGCGAUGAAGGCCUUCGGGUCGUAAAGCUCUGUUGUUAGGGAAGAACAAGUACCGGAGUAGCUGCCGGUACCUUGACGGUACCUAACCAGAAAGCCACGGCUAACUACGUGCCAGCCGCCGCGGUAA
rnacentral:rRNA from 1 species